rnacentral:lncRNA from 1 species
AGUUUCAGGUGUAGAGCAAAGUGAUUCAGUUAUACGUGUGUUUUAUUAUAAGAUAUUGGAUAUAAUUUCCUAUGCUGUAGAGUAAAUCCUUGUUACACAACCUAGAAUAGAUUUACAAGGAGAUCCCGCUGAAUAGCAUUGAGAACUAUGUCUAGAUACUCAUGUUGCAACAGAAGAAAUGGUGGGGGAAAAACUGUAAUUGUAAUGUAUACAUGUGAGGAUAACCUGACCCCCUUGCUGUACAGUGGGAAAA